CGUGAAAUUCCGUCGGAAUCUGGGAGGACCAUCUCCUAAGGCUAAAUACUCUCUAGUGACCGAUAGUGAACCAGUACCGUGAGGGAAAGGUGAAAAGCACCCCGGAAGGGGAGUGAAAUAGAACCUGAAACCGUGUGCUUACAAGUAGUCAGAGCCCGUUAAUGGGUGAUGGCGUGCCUUUUGUAGAAUGAACCGGCGAGUUACGAUUUGAUGCAAGGUUAAGCAGUAAAUGUGGAGCCGUAGCGAAAGCGAGUCUGAAUAGGGCGUUUAGUAUUUGGUCGUAGACCCGAAACCAGGUGAUCUACCCUUGGUCAGGUUGAAGUUCAGGUAACACUGAAUGGAGGACCGAACCGACUUACGUUGAAAAGUGAGCGGAUGAACUGAGGGUAGCGGAGAAAUUCCAAUCGAACCUGGAGAUAGCUGGUUCUCUCCGAAAUAGCUUUAGGGCUAGCCUCAAGUGAUGAUUAUUGGAGGUAGAGCACUGUUUGGACGAGGGGCCCCUCUCGGGUUACCGAAUUCAGACAAACUCCGAAUGCCAAUUAAUUUAACUUGGGAGUCAGAACAUGGGUGAUAAGGUCCGUGUUCGAAAGGGAAACAGCCCAGACCACCAGCUAAGGUCCCAAAAUAUAUGUUAAGUGGAAAAGGAUGUGGCGUUGCCCAGACAACUAGGAUGUUG
rnacentral:rRNA from 1 species